ACCUCCGAGAUUUCAUUUGCAUCACUGUAUGGAGCAAUAAGCAUCGAUGCUAAAUCUUGCUCCUCAUCAUCCAAACGCCACCAGGUAUUGAUUCUCUUCACCACCGGCUUUUGAUGGUUUGGAUCUCUUCUAAAACGUAUCAUAAAAAUCCUUGCCACGUCUUGCUCUUGGUUCUGCCUCAGCCUGCAAGUCUCAUGGA
rnacentral:lncRNA from 1 species